GCAGUCUUCCUAUUUAAAAAAAUUUAAAGCAGAAUUUUUUUAAAAACGGAAACAAGGUCACGUGUGUAAUCCCGAGUUUAAAAGGUCUGGAAAGAUGGGGACCCACACAGCAAACCAUGACCCUGGAGGAGCCAUCAACAGGUAAGAAAAAAAAGAAAGAAAGAAAGCCGUGGCGGGCAGCCCACGCAGGUCUGUGCCUGAUGCUGUUUUUCUCACGGAACUCACCUGGAUCCGACCCCGGCUCUCGCAUCCCAGGCUCAGAACUCCAGCUCUUCCACGUCCUAGAAUCGACCAGAACCUGGGAUGCUGCCUGAUAUCACCGCAGCGGUCACGAGCUGAUGUAUACAAUGACCCCCUCGUCCUACAAGUAUUUACGAAGCUCCGGGUGAGUGCCAGACGCUGCCCAGGACGGGGACAGCAGCCGUGAGCAGGAAAACGUGGAGGCCCCAUCACUGAGUGGGGCUGGGGGAGACCAGCAACAGAGGAGAAGCAAACAAAUCCAUGACAUUGGGUAAUAUGAGACUGACGUGCUACCUACUGCGCUAACGAGGCACCUGACAUUAGGUAAUAAAGUGAGAACUGAGCUGGACCAAGUUAUGACCCGGGACGGGAGCCAGAAAUCCACGUGGUUGAGGGCGCUGGGAUCCCGCACGCCGGCAGUAGCCCUCCGGCCCCUGCGUGUCCCACACGAACAGUCAGUUUGAGGGGUUAUCAACAGAAGGCUGCCGGGAGCAUGGGAUUCGGGGCACAGAGAAGGUCGGGGUCCAACAGUUUGGUGACAACCUGCCGUGCCCAUUUCCGUGGUGCUCCUUCUGCCAGGCCACCGGGCCGCCACGGGUCGACUGUCAGAGCCCCAGACAGAAGCCAGCAGCCACCGUCAGGAGUCACCUCUGUGACUGUCGUUGCAAUGCGUCCACAAGCACCCCGUCUUAUUUUUCUAAUAAGGCAGGUACUUCCGUUGGAUCAUUUGUUUCUUUGGGGAUGAUUUGUAAAUCUCAUCCCGAAUCCACUAAUUGGUCAAUGUACUGAUUUGGGACUCCAAGGCGACCUCAAUUUCCCCUUCUCCAGGGCUACCUGGUCCUCCCCGCCACUCACCGCCCCCCAACACACUAAAUACUUCCCGAGAAAUGCUGUGCGUCUUCAUCUCAGAUAAAAAACGGCUCCCUCUUCCCCAUCCAGUUCCCCAAAGAGCAGAUUCCCUAGAGAGGUUUCAUGACACCCAGUGGGUUCAGUGGGCCCUCUGGGUCAAAUCUUUCCUUCUAGACAAGAGAGGGGCUCUCUGGGGCCCGAGCCAGAGCACCGAAGGCGGCCUGGGGGCCAGGCCAUCUCCUGGAACUGAGAGGGUACCCUUCUCCGAGGGGGCAGCAGCCUAUAACAGACACCAACAAUGAGCCAUGUCCCCUCAAUCUGUGGAAAUGCGUAAGGAGUGGGGAAGGUCUCGGGGACCCCCAUCUACUAGGAGAGGAACUGGAAGGUCAUAAGGAGAAGUGGAGAAUUAGCGGCUCCCAGCAGGCCGCUCUGUGGGAGGGGGAGAAGCAGUGGGGAGACUGGUCCCGGGAACGGACAGCUCCUGGAGCCGCGGACCGCCAGGCGGGCCGACUGCGCGCUGGGAGGGCGCGCAGCAGGGACAAGGGGCCGGGUCCGAACUCCACGCGUUGCAAAAGCUCCCCUGGUUCCGUGUCACCCGAAGUCUGUGCCACCCAGUUCUACCUUCAGACCCGGGGAUUCUCAAUGUUCAAAAAUAUCCACACGGCCGCUUCCUCAAAGGAAGUAUGAAGAGAAACCCAGUUUGUGAAA